rnacentral:lncRNA from 1 species
GGGGCAUUUUGAUCUAAAGUGGCCCGGCUUCUUGCAUUCAUAGUAGAUGAUGGGCUGUUCUUUUUCUUUUUCUUUGCAUGGCUCCCCCUUGACUGGUGGUCUUCUCUUGAUCUCUUGUCUUUUUCUCCUCAUAAAGCAUCUAAAUUUUCUGGUAAUCAGGGCCAAGUCCUUAUCUUCCUCACUAUUGUCUGAUUUUUUUGUGUCUUCUUCUUCCUGAGCUAUCG